rnacentral:piRNA from 1 species
UGUUAUGCUCUGGAAUGAGGCCAAUCCUA